rnacentral:rRNA from 1 species
CCUACGGGCGGCAGCAGUGGGGAAUAUUGGGCAAUGGAGGCAACUCUGACCCAGCAACGCCGCGUGAGCGAUGAAGGUCUUCGGAUUUUAAAGCUCUGUCUCAGGGGACGUAGUAUGACGGUACCCUGUAAGAAAGCCCCUGCAAACUACGUGCCAGCAGCCGCGGUAAUACGGAGGGGGCUAGCGUUUUCCGGAAUUACUGGGCGUAAAGGGAGUUUAGACGGAUUGUCAAGUUAAGUGUGAAAGCUUGCGGCUUAACCGCAGAAUUGCACGUAAAACUGACUCUCUAGAGUGCAGGAGAGGUGAGUGGAAUUCGUAGUGUAGCGGUGGAAUGCGUAGAUAUUAGGAGGAACACC